AGUGAACGCUGGCGGUAGGCCUAACACAUGCAAGUCGAACGGCAGCACAGAGGAGCUUGCUCCUUGGGUGGCGAGUGGCGGACGGGUGAGGAAUACAUCGGAAUCUACUCUGUCGUGGGGGAUAACGUAGGGAAACUUACGCUAAUACCGCAUACGACCUACGGGUGAAAGCAGGGGAUCUUCGGACUUGGCGCGAUUAAAUGAGCCGAUGUCGGGUUAGCUAGUUGGCGGGGUAAAGGCCCACCAAGGCGACGAUCCGUAGCUGGUCUGAGAGGAUGAUCAGCCACACUGGAACUGAGACACGGUCCAGACUCCUACGGGAGGCAGCAGUGGGGAAUAUUGGACAAUGGGCGCAAGCCUGAUCCAGCCAUACCGCGUGGGUGAAGAAGGCCUUCGGGUUGUAAAGCCCUUUUGUUGGGAAAGAAAUCCAUCUGGUUAAUACCCGGGUGGGAUGACGGUACCCAAAGAAUAAGCACCGGCUAACUACGUGCCAGCCGCCGCCGUAA
rnacentral:rRNA from 1 species